UACGGAGGGUGCAAGCGUUAUCCGGAUUCACUGGGUUUAAAGGGUGCGUAGGCGGUCCUAUAAGUCAGUGGUGAAAUACUCUAGCUUAACUAGAGGGGUGCCAAUGAUACUGUAGGACUUGAGUACAGAUGAGGUAGGCGGAAUUGACGGUGUAGCGGUGAAAUGCAUAGAUAUCGUCAAGAACACCUAUAGCGAAGGCAGCUUACUGGGCUGUAACUGACGCUGAGGCACGAAAGUGUGGGGAUCAAACAGG
rnacentral:rRNA from 1 species